rnacentral:lncRNA from 1 species
GUGCAUAUGACAGGUGUUGACGCGGCUGAAAAAGACUGGCGCCUCUUCGAUAUCUGGGAUCGGCGCUUCGACAAAUUACCCAUGAUUUCCGCAAAGCUGAGUUUGCGUGUGAUGGGUGCUGACAAGUCUGGAAAGGAAGAUCGCCCGUGGUUUCCGAGUAAGCCCAGCUUUUGAGAAAGCUAGCACUUCUUCGAUUUUUGAAUUGGCCUCUUCGAAUUCUGAGCUCGCCUCUU